GAUUUCUAAUGAAGAGGUUAAGCAUGUUAAGCAUGGAUGAAGUGUAAAAUUGCACCAGAAAUUGUAAUUUCAAUCAUUUAUCUCAAUUUUUACCCUUAAGUUGUUUUUGUAUGAAUGUAUAUUACACUUUAAUUGUGUUAGUAAUUUGAAUUCACUUUUCUAAAUACAUAUUUUUGUGUAUUUAUUAUAUAUUGUAUGUGUUAUUAAUUCGAAAGUUAUGUUUCUCUUAUCAAAUAUAUAAAUUUUUAAUUAUUGGAUGC
rnacentral:lncRNA from 1 species